CCCUUAGAUGUCCGGGGCCGCACGCGCGCUACACUGAAGGAAUCAGCGUGGCUUUCUCCCUGACCCGAAAGGGUUGGGAAACCCGUUGAAUCUCCUUCGUGAUAGGGAUUGGGGCUUGAAAUUGUUCCCCAUGAACGAGGAAUUCCCAGUAAGCGCGAGUCAUAAGCUCGCGUUGAUUACGUCCCUGCCCUUUGUACACACCGCCCGUCGCUACUACCGAUUGAACGGUUUAGUGAGGGCCUCGGAUUGGUCUCGGCCCGCUCUUUACCGGGCGGCGCCGUUGGUCGAGAAGCCGCUCGAACUUGAUCGUUUAGAGGAAGUAAAAGUCGUAACA
rnacentral:rRNA from 1 species